GGAGUUAAGAAAUGCAAGGAUGUUAAUAGCGUUCUUGCUUGACUAAGGCUCCGGAGGAAGCCACGGCUAACUCUGUGCCAGCAGCCGCGGUAAUACAGAGGCGGCAAGCGUUGUUCGGAAUUAUUGGGCGUAAAGAGCACGUAGGCGGCUGUGUAAGUCGGUUGUGAAAGCCUUCCGCUCAACGGAAGAACGGCAUCCGAUACUGCAUGGCUUGAGUGUGGGAGGGGAGAGUGGAACU
rnacentral:rRNA from 1 species